rnacentral:rRNA from 1 species
GAGCGCACCUUCGGGUGAGCGGCGGACGGGUUAGUAACGCGUGGGAACGUACCCAGAUCUAAGGAAUAGCCACUGGAAACGGUGAGUAAUACCUUAUACGCCCUUCGGGGGAAAGAUUUAUCGGAUUUGGAUCGGCCCGCGUUAGAUUAGGUAGUUGGUGGGGUAAUGGCCUACCAAGCCUACGAUCUAUAGCUGGUUUUAGAGGAUGAUCAGCAACACUGGGACUGAGACACGGCCCAGACUCCUACGGGAGGCAGCAGUGGGGAAUCUUAGACAAUGGGGGCAACCCUGAUCUAGCCAUGCCGCGUGAGUGAAGAAGGUCUUAGGAUCGUAAAGCUCUUUCGCCAGGGAUGAUAAUGACAGUACCUGGUAAAGAAACCCCGGCUAACUCCGUGCCAGCAGCCGCGGUAAUACGGAGGGGGUUAGCGUUGUUCGGAAUUACUGGGCGUAAAGCGCGCGUAGGCGGAUCAGAAAGUUGGGGGUGAAAUCCCAGGGCUCAACCCUGGAACUGCCUCCAAAACUCCUGGUCUUGAGUUCGAGAGAGGUGAGUGGAACUCCGAGUGUAGAGGUGAAAUUCGUAGAUAUUCGGAAGAACACCAGUGGCGAAGGCGGCUCACUGGCUCGAUACUGACGCUGAGGUGCGAAAGUGUGGGGAGCAAACAGGAUUAGAUACCCUGGUAGUCCACACCGUAAACGAUGAAUGCCAGUCGUCGGGUAGUAUACUAUUCGGUGACACACCUAACGGAUUAAGCAUUCCGCCUGGGGAGUACGGUCGCAAGAUUAAAACUCAAAGGAAUUGA